AACGCGAAGAACCUUACCUGGGUUUGACAUACACCAGAAAGCCGUAGAGAUACGGCCCCCCUUGUGGUUGGUGUACAGGUGGUGCAUGGCUGUCGUCAGCUCGUGUCGUGAGAUGUUGGGUUAAGUCCCGCAACGAGCGCAACCCUUGUCCUGUGUUGCCAGCGCGUAAUGGCGGGGACUCGCAGGAGACUGCCGGGGUCAACUCGGAGGAAGGUGGGGACGACGUCAAGUCAUCAUGCCCCUUAUGUCCAGGGCUUCACACAUGCUACAAUGGCCGGUACAGAGGGCUGCGAUACCGUGAGGUGGAGCGAAUCCCUUAAAGCCGGUCUCAGUUCGGAUCGGGGUCUGCAACUCGACCCCGAGAAGUUGGAGUCGCUAGUAAUCGCAGAUCAGCAACGCUGCGGUGAAUACGUUCCCGGGCCUUGUACACACCG
rnacentral:rRNA from 1 species